UACGGAGGGUGCAAGCGUUAUCCGGAUUCACUGGGUUUAAAGGGUGCGUAGGCGGCCGAUCAAGUCAGAUGUGAAAGUCCUGGGCUUAACCUGGGGACUGCAUUUGAUACUGAUUGGCUUGAAUGCAGGAGAGGAUAGCGGAAUUCCCAGUGUAGAGGUGAAAUUCGUAGAUAUUGGGAAGAACACCGGUGGCGAAGGCGGCUAUCUGGACUGUGAUUGACGCUGAGGCGCGAAAGCGUGGGGAGCAAACAGG
rnacentral:rRNA from 1 species